CAUACCGCGGUAAUACGUAGGGUACGAGCGUUAAUCGGAAUUACUGGGCGUAAAGCGUGCGCAGGCGGUUGUGUAAGUCAGGUGUGAAAUCCCCGGGCUUAACCUGGGAACUGCGCUUGUGACUGCACAGCUAGAGUAUGGCAGAGGGGGGUGGAAUUCCACGUGUAGCAGUGAAAUGCGUAGAGAUGUGGAGGAACACCGAUGGCGAAGGCAGCCCCCUGGGCCAAUACUGACGCUCAUGCACGAAGGCGUGGGGAGCAAACAGGAUUAGAUACCCCCGUAGUCCCUGUCUCUUAUACAC
rnacentral:rRNA from 1 species